rnacentral:rRNA from 1 species
UACCAGCACCCCGAGUGGUCGGGACGUUUAUUGGGCCUAAAGCAUCCGUAGCCGGUUCUACAAGUCUUCCGUUAAAUCCACCUGCUUAACAGAUGGGCUGCGGAAGAUACUAUGGAGCUAGGAGGCGGGAGAGGCAAGCGGUACUCGAUGGGUAGGGGUAAAAUCCGUUGAUCCAUUGAAGACCACCAGUGGCGAAGGCGGCUUGCCAGAACGCGCUCGACGGUGAGCGAUGAAAGCUGGGGGAGCAAACCGG